GGGAUGAGAGGCCACUUGCAGAGAGAAGCCACAGGCAGCAGAACGAGCCCUUUGGUCUCCCUGGUGGUCUCUCGAAGACCUUUCCAGAGGCAUCACGGAAGAGCAGGGAAGCCAAGGGAGCCAGAGGGCCACCUGCCCCAGCACCCUCUUCACAGGAGCCAUUAAUUGCUUUUUCAAGAUAUGUCUGAAGCGAGGACAAAAGCAAAGAACUUCAUUUGGGAAUUUGGUGUAGUGAUAAAGGAGGGAAGAGAGAAAGCAGAAGUGCCCAGUGGCUUUUUCCUUCUGUGCUAUUCAACAAGGCAGCCCAGUGUUCAACCCUAAAGAAGGUAAAACAAACAACGCAAAGAGGGAAUUUCAGUUUCAGAUAGGCUCUUGCCUAUUGAGCUAGUGAGAGACAGCCUAGUCACUUCAAGUGGCCUCAAGAAUCCAGGCCAGUAUGAAUUGGAUUACAGGGCCUCAAGGAAUUUCAGAAUCACUAACAGUCAUCUUUGAGAGAUUAUGAGAAGCAGAAAAAUAAUAAUGGAAGACUGAGGAGAGUAAGGGAUUGUCAGAGAAAGUAAUAUUUGCUCUUUGCUGCUACAGAGAACCAAAGCAAAACCAAUGAAUUUCAGUUAUAAAUAGAUAUGAGUGUCAAUGAAAGGAGGGAAGUUAUAUGUGGAAUCUUAAAAAGGUGGUGGGGGGCGGGUGUACAAAUGAACUUAUUUGCAAAACAGAAAUAGAGUUACAGAUGUAGUAAACAAAC
rnacentral:lncRNA from 1 species